rnacentral:rRNA from 1 species
GAUGAACGCUGGCGGCGUGCCUAAUACAUGCAAGUCGAGCGAACAGACGAGGAGCUUGCUCCUCUGACGUUAGCGGCGGACGGGUGAGUAACACGUGGAUAACCUACCUAUAAGACUGGGAUAACUGCGGGAAACCGGAGCUAAUACCGGAUAAUAUAUUGAACCGCAUGGUUCAAUAGUGAAAGACGGUUUUGCUGUCACUUAUAGAUGGAUCCGCGCCGCAUUAGCUAGUUGGUAAGGUAACGGCUUACCAAGGCAACGAUGCGUAGCCGACCUGAGAGGGUGAUCGGCCACACUGGAACUGAGACACGGUCCAGACUCCUACGGGAGGCAGCAGUAGGGAAUCUUCCGCAAUGGGCGAAAGCCUGACGGAGCAACGCCGCGUGAGUGAUGAAGGUCUUCGGAUCGUAAAACUCUGUUAUUAGGGAAGAACAAAUGUGUAAGUAACUAUGCACGUCUUGACGGUACCUAAGCAGAAAGCCACGGCUAACUACGU